rnacentral:rRNA from 1 species
ACACAUGCAAGUCGAGCGGGGUGAUGUAACUUGCUACAUUACCUAGCGGCGGACGGGUGAGUAAUGCUUAGGAAUCUGCCUAUUAGUGGGGGACAACAUUCCGAAAGGAAUGCUAAUACCGCAUACGCCCUACGGGGGAAAGCAGGGGAUCUUCGGACCUUGCGCUAAUAGAUGAGCCUAAGUCAGAUUAGCUAGUUGGUGGGGUAAAGGCCUACCAAGGCGACGAUCUGUAGCGGGUCUGAGAGGAUGAUCCGCCACACUGGGACUGAGACACGGCCCAGACUCCUACGGGAGGCAGCAGUGGGGAAUAUUGGACAAUGGGCGAAAGCCUGAUCCAGCCAUGCCGCGUGUGUGAAGAAGGCCUUUUGGUUGUAAAGCACUUUAAGCGAGGAGGAGGCUACUUAGAUUAAUACUCUAGGAUAGUGGACGUUACUCGCAGAAUAAGCACCGGCUAACUCUGUGCCAGCAGCCGCGGUAAUACAGAGGGUGCGAGCGUUAAUCGGAUUUACUGGGCGUAAAGCGUGCGUAGGCGGCUUCUUAAGUCGGAUGUGAAAUCCCUGAGCUUAACUUAGGAAUUGCAUUCGAUACUGGGAAGCUAGAGUAUGGGAGAGGAUGGUAGAAUUCCAGGUGUAGCGGUGAAAUGCGUAGAGAUCUGGAGGAAUACCGAUGGCGAAAGCAGCCAUCUGGCCUAAUACUGACGCUGAGGUACGAAAGCAUGGGGAGCAAACAGGAUUAGAUACCCUGGUAGUCCAUGCCGUAAACGAUGUCUACUAGCCGUUGGGGCCUUUGAGCUUUAGUGCGCAGCUAACGCGAUAGUAGACCGCCUGGGGAGUACGGUCGCAGACUAAAACUCAAAUGAGUUGACGGGGGCCCGCANNAGCGGUGGAGCAUGNNGNUUAAUUCGAUG